UACGAAGGGGGCUAGCGUUGUUCGGAAUCACUGGGCGUAAAGCGCACGCAGGCGGAUCGUUAAGUCAGGGGUGAAAUGCCGAGGCUCAACCUCGGAACUGCCUUUGAUACUGGCGAUCUUAGAGUCCGGGAGAGGUGAGUGGAACUCCGAGUGUAGAGGUGAAAUUCGUAGAUAUCUGGAGGAACACCGGUGGCGAAGGCGACGUCCUGGACCGGCAUUGACGCUGAGGCGCGAAAGCCAGGGGAGCAAACGGG
rnacentral:rRNA from 1 species